CCCUAGUGCCGACCCAUAUUUUCUCUGCCCUAGCCGAAUCUUGAAGGUCACGGAUUGGUGAGGUUUUAUAUAUUGUGGGGUGUUUUUGAUUUCGGCAGUAACCCCAUCCUGCAGCAGUAAGGUACCAGGUUAUUUAUGGUGUCGCUUGGAGCAUCCUGUCUGCUGGUCCCCACGUCACAUCAGAAGCCAUAUCUCCGCAUUUUUUUGUUAUUUGAUCUUGGUAUAUGAGAUGUAUGUAUUUGACUUUGUGUGUUCCGGUUUUGUGUUCGGAGUGUUGAGGUUAUAUGUGAUGUUUUGUAUCAGUUGUUGGUUGUGUAAGCCUAGCAGGCUAGCAGUCUUGUGUUUUGGUUUGUAUUUGGUUUCUGUCAUUUUCCGUGUUUUGGUUU